GGGUUCGAUCUAACUCAUUGAACGCUGGCAGGAUAUGCCCGCACAUAAAGUCGAACAACAACACAGACCAGUCUGGUGGCGAAUUGGCGAACCGGGUGGUAUUGUCCGGAGACGUGCACAAUGGCAGGGGGAUAACUACGCAAAGCGUAACAAUGCCAUGCGCGCCGGGGAAAACAGAGGACCUUCCGGGCCUCGCCGCACUAUUAAACAGCCGAUAUCGGAUUAGCUAAUUGGUGGUAACGGCUCCACAGGCGGCGAUCCAUGCUGGUUUGAGAGGACGUUGACCGCAGGACUGAAGGGCACGGCCCGGGCUCUGCAAGGGAAGGCAGCAGUGGGAGUACCUGGACAAUAGAGCCUGAUCCAUGCAUCCACGUGUACGUGAAGGCGCCUUCGGGUUAUCACGCUUACGGCAGAAAGAAACAGCACGGGAUAAUAAUGCCAUGCAACUGACUUCAACACCUGCAGAACAAAGCACCAGCUAACGCGUUGGCGGCUGACCGCGGUAAUACGUAGGGUUAUGGCGUUAAUCAAAUUACUGGAAGAAAGCAUCAAAGCAUGCGCAAACGGUUCGGAGAGAAAAAAUGUAGAAAUCAAACUUAACUUUGGAACUGCAUUUUAACUACUGAGCUAGAAAUUAGCUGUCGAAGUCCGGUAAAAUGUAACGGUGAAAUACGUAGAUGUGCGGAGAACUUGCCGAUGGCGAAGCAACCUCCUGGGAAUAUACUGACGCUCAUGCACGAAAGCGUGGGAGCAAACAAGGUUAAAAUACCUGGUGAUCACCACCCUGAAAGCGAUGUCUAGCUGUUAGGGCCUUCGGGCCUUGGUGGCUGGCUAACGCGUGAAGAUUGACCGCCUGAUACUGAUCGCUAAAAGAUAAAACUCGAAAAUUGGACGGGGACCCGCUUACAAGCGGUGGAUGAUGUGAAUUAAUUCCGAUGCAACGCGGAAAAACCUUACCUACCCUUGACAUAUCUGGAAUCCCGAAGGGUUGGGAGUGCUCGCAAGAGAGCCGGAACACAGGUGCUGCAUGGCUGUCGUCAGCUCGUGUCGUGAAGAUGUUGGGUUAAGUCGCGGCGAGCGCAGCCGUAUCGUAGGUUGCUGCGGGCGCUCUGUGGACUGCCGGUGACAAACCGGAGGAAGGUGGGGAUGACGUCGAGUCCUCAGCAUAUGGGUAGGGCUUCACCGUCAUACAAUAGUCGGGACAGAGAUCACUCCCAACCCGCGAAGGCUCAAUCGAAACUUGAUCGUAGUCGGAUCAUGAUCUGCAACUCGACUGCGUAUUCAGGUCGGAAGAUCAUAGUAAUCUGGAUCAACAAUAUCGCGGUGAAUACGUUCAGGUCUUAUGCACACCGCCCGUCACACCAUGGGAGUGGGUUUUUACCAGAAGUAGUUAACCCUAACCGUAGGGAGGGGCGAUUACCACGGUAAGAUUCAUGACUGCAGGUGAAAUCACUAAAGUAAUAUAAUACACUACCUGAUAAUGCAGGAGCAAUACAUGAAAAAAUAA
rnacentral:rRNA from 1 species